UAGUAUGUAAAUUUAAAAUUUUAUUAUUAUAAUAUAUUAGAUUAGUAUUAUAUGUGAGGGUUGUGGUAUAUUUAUAGUGUAAGAGUACUUUUCAGGAAUUAUUUUAUUUAUAUUAAAUUUAGGUUUUUAAUACCUUUUGUAUUAGGGGUCUUUAAUGUAGGGAGAUAUUAAUUUUUUCUCGAUGAAUAUCGGGCUAUUUAGUUUUAUUUUACUCUCAUUGCAUAGAGAUUAUUUAGGAUUAGAUAGUUAUGAAAUAUUAUUCAAGAUGUUUUAUAUCUAGUUUUUCUAGAUUUAUAAUGGAGUAUAUAUUUAUUUGGGAUGUAGGUAGGGAUUAGCUUAUUUAUAAUUUAUAUACUUUUUUGUUAUGAUUUAUUUGUGGAGUUAAAAGUUCUUAUUAUUAUGGUGUUAUUACUAGAUAAAGAUUUUUUAUAAUUUUUUUGUUUUAUAUUAAGAUAGAGAAUAUUGUAUUAAUUUUGGAUGUUAAUGAUAUAAUGAUGAUAUUAGUAAUAUUAAUAUUUGUAAUUUGGUUUGUGGAUAUAUUAGGUUUGUUAGAAAAAUUAGUUAUUAUAGAUGAAGAAUUAGGCAAAAAUUGACUUUUGACUGUUUAGCAAAAACAUUGUUUUUUGUUAUAAAAUAAAAAAUAAGUUCUGCCCACUGUUUUUAAUAAAGGGCUGCAGUAUUUUGACUGUAUGAAGGUAGCAUAAUCAUUAGCUUUUUAAUUGGAAGCUGGUAUGAAGGGGAAACAGAGGUUUGCUGUUUUAUUUUUAAAUAAUAAAUUUUAUUUUUAUGUGAAAAAUCAUAAGUGGAAUAAUGGGACAAGAAGACCCUAGUAAGUUUAAUUUUUUAUUUUUAAUGCAUAUAUAGGAAUAAAAAUUUGUAUAAUUUAUUAUAUUUAGUUUAACUGGGGCGGUGUGUUAUUAAACAUAGCUUAAUUUUUAACUUAUUUGAUGACGAUUUAGUAGACCUAGAGGGUUUAGUUGAGUGUAAAAUUACUGUAGGGAUAACAGCGUAAUUUUUUUUAAGAGUUCUUAUUAACGGAAAAGUUUGCGACCUCGAU
rnacentral:rRNA from 1 species